CCUACGGGAGGCAGCAGUGAGGAAUAUUGGUCAAUGGACGAGAGUCUGAACCAGCCAAGUAGCGUGAAGGAUGACUGCCCUAUGGGUUGUAAACUUCUUUUAUAUGGGAAUAAAACAGGGUAUGCAUACCCUCUUGUAUGUACCAUAUGAAUAAGGAUCGGCUAACUCCGUGACAGCAGCCGCGGUAAUACGGAGGAUCCGAGCGUUAUCCGGAUUUAUUGGGUUUAAAGGGAGCGUAGGUGGAUUGUUAAGUCAGUUGUGAAAGUUUGGGGCUCAACCGUAAAAUUGCAGUUGAAACUGGCAGACUUGAGUUGGCGAGAAGUACGCGGAAUGCGCGGUGUAGCGGUGAAAUGCAUAGAUAUCGCGCAGAACUCCGAUUGCGAAGGCAGCGUACCGGCGCCAGACUGACGCUGAGGCACGAAAGCGUGGGGAUCGAACAGGAUUAGAUACCCUUGUAGUC
rnacentral:rRNA from 1 species